GCAACGCAUUUCACGGCACUCUGGGUGGAAAAAUGCAUUUAAGUGGCAUAUAAAUUUCCCGUUCGCAACGAACCGCAGACACUCACAAGCCAGACUCAGACUGUGGCUUUGUAGUCUGAAAGUCUCUGAGCAGUGAUAAGUGCCAGCUGAAACAAUUCGUAAGCAAUACGAUUGUACAAAUAAAGUCAGCGAGCGCGAUAUUUGAAAUCUUAAAGAUGAACAAGAUGCCUGAAUAUUGCCUUCAAGACUGGUUUUCUAAUUGAGUUUGGCCAAGAGUAAUGAAGUGGUGAUGAAGUCACUUUCUAUGGUUUCCUAGCAGAAAAGCAAAACUGUGGGAAGACGGCCAAGAAAAGCGAGGAAAGUGUUACUUUUCAACUUCUAACCUAAUAAAACAGAAACCUUUCCUAUGGUGCUUUAUUAUCGCUGGCAACCACUUGGAAACUCAACUAAUUUUUGACCCCACCUAGGCAAACACAAUCGCGGCAAAAAGGCUUUUACGGUCAACGUCAAGUUGUGGCCACGUUUUUCCAUGCAUGACCACCAUGGUGGCCCGCCUUCCUGCCACUCCUGGCAACUGGAUGUCCCGACUUCCGGAGGCGUCGUGCUUCGAAAAAAUCGUGUAACGCGGCGGACCGAAGGGAUGGCAAGUGCAUAAAGCACCGACAGAUAGCUUCAAUGGGACACCAAACCAGAGCGGAGCCAUCGGAGCCAGUGGCUCAGCGCCAUCGAUGAUAGCGCACAGGAGGCGGUAAACAAAACAAAAGAGCAAACGGAACGGAACGGAAACUAAAUAGGGUUAACAAGCGCCACAGAAGGGCGGGCAGACCUAAAAUCGAAAGCUUGUUAUUUUACCUAAUUGCAUGGCCAGGAUGGCAAUUUUCAUAUUUGUCUAGUGACAGCGAAACAAAUGAAAGAACUAGAGCAUUUGGCUAAUUCAGAGUGGCGUACUCUACUUUCCUGCCGAGUUGAUCGAUUACCUAUUGGACCGUGCAGCUAAGCGAUGAUUUAAUGUUGGGUAUUCACUCUCAUUGAAGAUUGAGAUUGAAGUAUGUGCACUGAAGUAUGUACACUAAGGUUUAAAGUUGUAAAGUAAAGAAAUAGAAAACUUUAUGAUCUACUGAGUUUGCCAUUCCCUGGACACUGUUUUAAAAUAGCAAUAAAAUAAAUCGUUUUUCGAGUUCCGUAAUCUA